CCUACGGGUGGCAGCAGUGGGGAAUAUUGGGCAAUGGGCGCAAGCCUGACCCAGCAACGCCGCGUGAAGGAAGAAGGCUUUCGGGUUGUCAACUUCUUUUCUCAGGGACGAAGAAAGUGACGGUACCUGAGGAAUGAGCCACGGCUAACUACGUGCCAGCAGCCGCGGCAAUACGUAGGUGGCACGCGUUAUCCGGAUUUACUGGGUGUGAAGGGCGUGUAGGCGGGAAAGCAAGUCAGAUGUGAAAAUCGCGGGCUCAACCUGUGGCCUGCCUUUGAAACUGGUUGUCUUGAGUACGGGGGAGGCAGACGGAAUUCCUAGUGUAGCGGUGAAAUGCGUAGAUAUGAGGAGGAACCCCAGUGGCGAAGGCGGUCUGCUGGACAGCAACUGACGCUGAGGCGCGAAAGCGUGGGGAGCAAACAGGAUUAGAUACCCGAGUAGUC
rnacentral:rRNA from 1 species